AUUGAAAAUUAAACACCUUGAUAAGUCAGUGAAGAAGUUCUGAACAGCCUGCUGACAAUCUCAUCUGCCUUAAGACUCUCAUUUCUUGAAAACAUCGGGAUACUGGUGACAAGACGUGGUUCUUGCUGGCGACAGUGUAGAAGAAUCUAGUAGAGGCCGUGAAACCGCAUAACGGUCGCUAGAAAGAAGCAUUGAGAUUAUGAAUCAAGAAAAAGAGAUAGAGCACAGUUAAACUCUACUACCUGAAGAAUAGACGACUCGGUGAGUAAUAAGCCUGCAGACUCUAAGAACUAACGACUCUUAGAUUAAGGUAGGCAGAUUGUUGACAUUGUUGCCGCAAGGUGCAAUCUUCAGUAAUCGUGUUAGUAAGGGUAGAUCGUGGAGGUAUUAAAAUCAGCAGUUAAGGUUUUGAUAUGUCAUAGAGGAAACUGGUACGAGUAGCUUAACACGAGAGCAGGUUGACCAAGAAGAUCAUAAUAUUUCUUAAUUCAACUCUGAACGUUCGGUGAAAGUUAGAUCCAUCGCGAUACUCGAUCUUUGGAAAUGGAAUGUAAGCAUUGAGGUAGCUCCUCAGUGUUCAGAGCAUUCUAGUCGUCGCUCAACAAUCUUUGAAGCUUGUGAAGUAGAGAGAAAUCUCAUCAAGGUGUGUGGCAUUAU
rnacentral:sRNA from 12 species